GAUGAACGCUGGCGGCGUGCCUAAUACAUGCAAGUCGAGCGAACGGACGAGAAGCUUGCUUCUCUGAUGUUAGCGGCGGACGGGUGAGUAACACGUGGAUAACCUACCUAUAAGACUGGGAUAACUUCGGGAAACCGGAGCUAAUACCGGAUAAUAUUUUGAACCGCAUGGUUCAAAAGUAAAAGACGGUCUUGCUGUCACUUAUAGAUGGAUCCGCGCUGCAUUAGCUAGUUGGUAAGGUAACGGCUUACCAAGGCAACGAUGCAUAGCCGACCUGAGAGGGUGAUCGGACACACUGGAACUGAGACACGGUCCAGACUCCUACGGGAGGCAGCGAUAGGGAAGCUUCCGCAAUGGGCGAAAGCCUGACGGAGCAACGCCGCGUGAGUGAUGAAGGUCUUCGGAUCGUAAAACUCUGUUAUUAGGGAAGAACAUAUGUGUAAGUAACUGUGCACAUCUUGACGGUACCUAAUCAGAAAGCCACGGCUAACUACGUG
rnacentral:rRNA from 1 species